UCUCCCGUGAGGGAGCAGUCUCGCCUGACACUUGUAACAGGCAACGAGGGUUGCGUUCGUUUCCCCACUUAAGGGAACAGCUCAAGCCACGAACUGACGACGGCCAUGCAUCACCUGUCAUACACCCUCGAAGGCUACUCCGCUUUCACGGAGUAUGCAGUAUGAUUUCUAGCCUUGGUAAGGUUCCUCGCUUAGUGACGAAUUAAGCCCCAUGAUCCACCGCUUGUGCGAGCCCCCGUCUAUUCCUUUGAGUUUUAAGCUUGCGCUCGUACUACCCAGGCGGUCCGCUUAAUGCGUUAGCUACGCCACAGAGAGGGUCGAUACUCCCUAUAGCUAGCGGACAACGUUUAGGGCGUGGACUAC
rnacentral:misc_RNA from 1 species